AUGAACGCUGGCGGCGUGCCUAAUACAUGCAAGUCGAGCGAACGGACGAGAAGCUUGCUUCUCUGAUGUUAGCGGCGGACGGGUGAGCAACACGUGGAUAACCUACCUAUAAGACUGGGAUAACUUCGGGAAACCGUAGCUAAUACCGGAUAAUAUUUUGAACCGCAUGGUUCAAAAGUGAAAGACGGUCUUGCUGUCACUUAUAGAUGGAUCCGCGCUGCAUUAGCUAGUUGGUAAGGUAACGGCUUACCAAGGCAACGAUGCAUAGCCGACCUGAGAGGGUGAUCGGCCACACUGGAACUGAGACACGGUCCAGACUCCUACGGGAGGCAGCAGUAGGGAAUCUUCCGCAAUGGGCGAAAGCCUGACGGAGCAACGCCGCGUGAGUGAUGAAGGUCUUCGGAUCGUAAAACUCUGUUAUUAGGGAAGAACAUAUGUGUAAGUAACUGUGCACAUCUUGACGGUACCUAAUCAGAAAGCCACGGCUAACUACGUG
rnacentral:rRNA from 1 species